GGAGGCCUUACGAGGCAGCGGCCGGCCACGCAGAGCCCCUGGGCGCCCGGGCUGCAGGGGGUGCCGUCCAGGACGCGGCCGAAGCUGUGGUAGAAGGCGUGCCCCUCGGCCAGGCAGUUGAGGUCGCACUGGUUGGGCGCUGCGGGCGGGAGGAAGCGUGGGGCCCGCGGAGGUCGCGGAGGCCCUGUGUUCGAGUCCCGCCUCCUCUCCCUCAGUCAGGUGAGAUGCAGCCAAAGCCGCAUGCCGAGGCUGAGGCCCAGCCAGGUCUUGCACCUAGUUGUCCUGCCUCCGGCGCGGGGACUGUCCCAGGCGAGGCUCCUGGGCGUGCUCGCAGGCACUCACUCAGCUCUCCCUGCCUCUUCUGGACCAUCAGGAAGACUUGGGAAGGCUACUCACCACCGUAGAAGGGCACCCACUGAUGCAGUGCCGGCUACGCACAGAGAGGCCCCGCCCACAAGAGCUGGAACAGCGACUCCAGGAACCCCAGGGGGUCCACUCACCGGGACCCUACUUGGGGAGACAGAGGCACCAGCAGCCUGGCGAGGAGCCUGGUGGUCCCCAGACUGCGGGCCGGGUCCCUAAGUCCGCGCGCUCCCUGGGCCCAGGUCCCCCUUACCUGAGCACUGCCCCCUAGACCGCAGUUCAGGAGAGUCCAGAGCAGAAGGAGGUUCUGGAGGGGGCGCUGCAGUGGGGGCGCCAGCGGGCCAGGAUCUGCACCCCAGCUCUGUCCCAACUGGCUGUGUGGUUUGGGGCAGUAAUCUAACGUCUCUGGGCCUCUGUUCUUGUCUCUAAAGAGUGGGGUAAUAACAGAGCCCCCGUUACAGGGAAGUCUCGGGGCUCUGUCCCAUCAGGUGAGAAGAACAGGUGGCACAGGGCCCGCUAGUGGGGGGAGAGCUCAGGAGUAUCUGCUGGUAUUGUAUCGACUGUGUUGUCUUCCGAUGUACACAGUAGGUGCUAAA